rnacentral:hammerhead_ribozyme from 1 species
AUCCAGUUGAUGAGUCCCACAUAGGACGAAACGUGCAUUCUAGAU